UACGUAGGGGGCAAGCGUUGUCCGGAUUUAUUGGGCGUAAAGAGCGUGUAGGCGGCCAUACAGGUCAGCUGUGAAAACUCGAGGCUCAACCUCGAGACGUCGGUUGAAACCGUAUGGCUAGAGUCCGGAAGAGGAGAGUGGAAUUCCCCGGUGUAGCGGUGAAAAUGCGCAGAUAUCGGGGAAAGAACACCCUAUGGCGAAAGGCAGCUCUCUGGGACGGUACUGACGCUGAGACGCGAAAAGCGUGGGGAGCGAACAGGG
rnacentral:rRNA from 1 species